rnacentral:rRNA from 1 species
UACAGAGGUGGCAAGCGUUGUUCGGAAUUACUGGGCGUAAAGGGCGCGUAGGCGGUUCGUUAAGUCCUGUGUGAAAUCCCCCGGCUCAACUGGGGAACUGCACAGGAAACUAGCGGGCUUGAGUUCGGGAGAGGGAAGCGGAAUUCCGGGUGAGCGGUGAAAUGCGUAGAUAUCCGGAGGAACACCGGUGGCGAAGGCGGCUUCCUG